AAAAACAUCUUUUCUUGAAUUUAAUWUGAGAUUUUACCUGCCCAAUGAUUUAUUUAAUGGCCGCGGUAUAUUGACUGUGCAAAGGUAGCAAAAUCAUUAGUUUAUUAAUUGUGAACUUGUAUGAAUGGUUUGACGAAAUAUUAACUGUUUCUUAUUUAUAAUUGGAAUUUAAAUUUUGAGUUAAAAUGCUUAAUUUUAUUUUAUUAGACGAGAAGACCCUAUAGAUCUUUAUUAUUAAUAUAUUUUUGUUUUUAGUUAUUUUUAUUAUAUUAGUUUUUUUGUUGGGGUGACAUGGAGAUAUUAUAUUAAACUCUUUAUUUUUAUAUACAUUUAUUUUUGAUUAUUUGAUUUUAUUUUAGUAGUUUAAGAUUAGAUACCUUAGGGAUAACAGCGUUAUUUUUUUGAGAGUCUAUCGACA
rnacentral:rRNA from 1 species